CACAAUUAUCAUCACAAAUUUACACCACUUUCAUGUCUUACACUGCUUGCAUGCUCGCACUUGAUUCUUGGCUCAGAAUCGCAGUUUCGGCGCCUUCUUCGUCCUCGGUAGGGAGAUCGUCUAAAUGGAGUUUCGGUUGAUUAAGGCUCCGAACUAACUCCGUGAACGAAGGAAAAUGCUCGGGCGAAAAGAAAUAUGCUCCCAUUCUUUGAUAUGAGAAUAGGUCAAGUACAUGAUCUCCUGAUAGAUUCUUCUUCAUUUGCUCGAAACCGCCCGGAACACCAAACUCCGAUGAGUUUUGACCUGAAACCUUCACGUCGUGCUUUCUGAAAGCCGUCAUAGUUUGUGAAAGGAGCAACUCGGGACUCGAAUGAGUUUCGUUUGGUUGAUUUGCAUCCGAAAGAUCCAUUCCAGGUAAUAUGAUUUUGCACGAGUUUUUGGCGAACAUCUUGGCUACUUGUUCGUAACCAUCCCUCUUGGCUGUGUUAUAGAAUCCCGCUGUUUGCUCGGACGGUCGGGAACGAGUUCCAUACCAAGAGUGCAUAAGCGGGAUUUUCCCGUAGAUUGAAACUCCGGUGUCGCCGAAGGUAGAAUCGGCCAAUGAAAGGAGGGAAUCUCCAUGUUUUAUGAGCUGAGAAGAAUACCAUGAAAGGAAGAAGUCACCAUAUGGAGACUCCCAAGAACCACCAUCCUUGAAGAAGCUAUUCGAGUAUGGCGAUUGGUUAUAUGUAGGCACAUCGUGUGGACCGCCAAGUCCCCACAAAGGAUUUCCAGAUGAUUCGGCAUGUUGUUUGAGUAAACUUAGCAUGUUUUGAUCAUAGCAUUGGAAUUCUCCUAUUCCUCGAGUUUUACCGUCGCUUGGUUGCUCGUGAUGAGACGGAUAUCGAAGCUCACCAUCCGGUCCUAAUCCCAUGGAAAUUCCCUGUAAUGCAAUAUAGCUAAAUGUUUAGAAUCUGUUUGAAUUGAAUUAUUCGAUUUUAUCUACGACAUGUAUACUCGUAAGACUGUUUUCAUCUUAUUUUCAUAAACUCUUCAAUCGUUCAUGCUAUAAAGGUAAACUUAGUGAUCUAUGUUGUGAAAUUCAUUCUAUAAUCUAAAUCUCGUACCGUAAUCGUAGACUUCAAGAACGGGGCGAACGAAGACUUGAAGCUCUCACAAAAACUCCUAUAAACUUGAACCGGAGUCUUUCCAUUAAGAACAUUAAGAUUAUCAACCGCAAGCGACAAACAUUCUUUGUAACACUGUCCCGACCGAUCGGUAAAGUAAAUACCCGACUGCGAUUCACCGAUCUCAGAAACCCAUUUAGGUAAAGGAAUAUUUGGUUUUUUAGAACCAUGAAAACAAAGUGUAACAUGAAGCUUAAGACCCACUUUCUGAAUCAUCUCAGCAAUAGAAAGAUAACCAGACCAAUCAUAUUUCCCCAUAGCUUCUUUCUCAACAAUUCCCCACCAUAUAGGUAGCUCAACACCUUCAACUCCUAACAGUUUCAAAGCUUUUAACCCUGCUGCAAUUGCUCUUGAAUGGUUUAUUGAAUUGCAAUCAUGAGAAACUGUAUCUAACGGC
rnacentral:lncRNA from 1 species